CUACUGCUGCUCCAGUAACCUGCUGAUUUUGUCACGUGUACCAGAUUCGUUGUCUGGCAAUGAGAACAAUACACUUCAGAGGUUAAUGUGGACCAAAAACUAGAUUUCAUAUAAAAGAGUUUAUUCCUUCUACUUGAGGUGUGACAUGAAGGAAAGUAAUGGAAAUAAUUCUGCCCUCCCAUUCUCAAGGGCCAGGGGGAAUUCAAAUAUUGAACGGAAGUGAUUUUGGAAUUGCAUGGAAUUCUCACUGCCAUCCCAAAGAAAUGCUGAUCUUGUCACUCUUACCUGUUUCAUUCCCUGGGGGCAGAACAAAAGGACGCACUCCAAAGAUCGGCAUGAACCAAGAACUGGGUUUCAUAUAAAAUAUUUUAUUCUGUCCUCUUGAGAUGUGACAUGAGAAAAGUAUUGAGAAUACUUCUAUCACCUCAUCUUCAAGAAUCCGUAGGAAUUCUCCCAUGGUGGACUUUACGGUUAACCUGAACAGGUCUUGGAAAAAGGACUUUAAACAUUCUCCUGUUCUGUGGAAUAAGUAUACUUUUUUCUGGACAUACACCUUGUCAGUGAGUUCCAUGUGAUACUAGAGUUGCAUAGAUUUUUAACCUUUACGCCAAUGAAGAUCUGAGGCAAACAUUGCCCCUUUUUUAGAAGUUUGCAUUUGUCACUGAUAACUGUAAUAAUUGAUCUUGUUGAAAAGCCUGGGAAAUGAAGAUCUGAUAUGUCACUUUUACCGGCUUCCUCAACUGAAAAAGAAUACAAUGAAACACGCUGAGAAUUUUUGUGCUUUCUCAGUCUUGCUGAUGAUCUUUCUAUGGGCCUGAAGCGUGGAGAGUGCCAGAGAGGCUGAUCCUCAGCAGUGUGGCAGAGGAAAGUUGGGUGCGACUAAGGGGUAUGCGGUGCCCACAUGCCACUGGGUCCUCAGCAGUACCACCUGAUUGGAAGUGAUAUUGGUGGAAGACAACAUUUUGCCGCUUGGAAUUCUCACCUCCACACCAAAGAAGUACUGUUUUUGUCAUUUGCACCAGCUUCUUUCUCCAGGAAAGAUCAAAACGAUGCACUGCAAGUGUGAUUGGUCCAGAUAGCUGCCUUAUCCAACUGCCUCCUUUGGACCACUUCAUCAUGGGACAGCUUGAUGCAAUCUACUUGACAAGACCCUGGAACCCCACACCCCUCAUGGAACCAGUGUCCACCUCCCAGUCACAGUGUGACCCCAGGGAACUCUUGCCUGCUUGCUUUAAACCCACCACUUAAAAGUCUCCACAGAAAACCUGUUUGAAUAGUACCCUUGACCCAAUAAGGGCAUUGGCCCCUGGGUGUCUCUCUCUCUCUCUCUCUCUCUCUCUCCCUCUCUCUCCCUCUCUCUCUCUCGCUCCCUGACCUCUGCGUGUGGACUCCAGGCAUGCCAUAUACCCCUCAGGACCUGAAGCAAAAGAAUGAAUUAAAGAAAACUCCAGAGAAUGAGCUGACAACCUACUCCCUGGUCAGUGGCUCUCCAUGCCUACCUGUGGUCUCUUGGACACCCUUGCAGAAGAUGACUUCCUGGGAACUCUUCUGGGAGUGAAUGUUAUCAGCAAAUUCCCAAAACAACACCCCUUAGACAAAAAGCCUCCUCACCUAUGCAUUGCCUAGACCACCCACUAAAGGUGAUGGCCACAAAGAGGUGGAUUUGUUGAGUUGGUGCCAUUCCUUCUACUGCCAGCUUCACCAAAACAAUGACACAGUCUUCCUUCCGCAUGGAGACUCUUCUCUUUCCUGUGUUGCAGUGGAUGCCUCCUGCAGAUAAGAAAUGCUUAACUGAGAAAUGCUCAUGUUGGGAUAUCAUCGAUGAGACUUUAAUUUGGGCAUGGUGACUGUUUCCCUUGCUGCCACUUGACUCAAUCCCAGGAGCCUCAGUAGAGGAUAUAAUAUUACACAAGAUGCUCAAAAUGGUGGAAUUGCUCAGUGCUCCCAUAAAUAUACAUUUAUAAUUUUCAUUUGCCACAUGGUAAACUGAAAAAUACAGACUAUAUUAAAAAGAAACUGCAUGAUUUUUUUUCAAAAAUUCAAAGCAUAUUUAAAUAAUAUAUAAAUUAAAUGCCCUCCUCUCUUCCAAUUCUGUCCCUAUAGUUUUCCUCUAUUAAGUGAACUACAUGCAUUCUUUUAGUGGAUAGAUGCACACAAACACACAAGCCAUUAUGGGGAAGGAUCCACGUGUGUGGCCAUAUUGUAACACAUUUUUCUGCAAAUCACCUCUUUCAUUUAACAGCCCUUAUUCAAUGGCCUUUUUCUUUUUCAGUAGUACAUACACAUCUGUGUCAUUUGUUGAAUGACGACAUGAAUGUUUUGUAGAUAAAAUAUAAUUAAAUGUUUUAAGCAUUUCUCACUCAUAGAUAUUUAUGUUAGCACCAAAUUUCUGUGCAAUGAACCUCCCUAUAUAUCAGUAAUUUUGCAUUUGUCUAUAAUAUCAUAAUAAAUUACUUAUCAGUUGAAUUACUGGGAUUAAGUAUGUGCACACUUUAUAUUUAUAUUUUGAAAAUUAUUGCAAGAUUGCCUUCAAAAAUGUGGUUAACAACUUUAUCUUCAAAUGGCAAUGAAUGAGAUUGCCAGCUUUCCUACAGCCUCACAGACAAUGGAUUUUAUAAAUAUUUAACAUUUUUGCCAAUGUGAUCACCCAAACUAUUGUCUUAAAUUGUAUCUCUUUUGUUUUUGAGUUUGGUCAUUUUUUCAUGUUUAUUAGCCAUCUGUAUUUUUUAAUUUCUUCUUUAUGUCCAAUUUUGUGGGUGGGAGGAGGAUUUAGUCUCUUCCUGAUUUCGAAGAGCUCAUUUACUAUUUCGGGAAAUAAGAUUUGGAUUGUCAACCAUUAUAGCUAUUUUUUACACACUUUUCAACUUUGUUUUUGUUAUAAGAAUGUGUAUGAUUGUUACAUGUCCAAGUAUAACCAUGUUCGCUUUUAUGGCUUCUGAGUUUCAUGUCAUUUUUGGAAAGAUAUAUAUAUUGAGUCCAUAAAACCCUUCACCUAUGUUAAAUUCUAAUUCUUUUGUGUUUUUUUAAUUCAAAUUCUUAAAUCAUGAGAAAUUUUUUUGUUUUGAAAUCUUAAAGUUGCCAAGUUACUUGCCAUUACUUGCGAUUAUUUGCCAAUAAUUGCCCAUUUAUCUGUACCGCCAUCUUGCGCAUAUGCUGUACUCUCAUCUGUGACUGGCUCCAUUUUUGUUCUGUGGAUUUGUGUGUCUCUUCUUCUGCCUCCUGUCUCGUGUCUGCUCGUUGGAAGAAAUUACAGUUUAGACUGCAAUUUCAUCAACUUUAAUAAAUCAAUUGAGGGGAGAAUUGGUUUUUAAAAAUAUUAAGUAAGUCUUCGUAUCCAAGGACAAGGUAUGUCUUUUCUUAUUCAAUAAUUUUAAUUACUGUUAAUAUUUUCACUGUGGUGAUGGGAGUUUUUCUUUUAAUUUAUUUUCUUGUUCAUUUUUUGUAUCUAAAGUUUUUGUUUUGUUUUGUUUUGGGGGUAAGUUGUCACCUUACUGUUUCUUGUUGCUUUUCAGAUUUUUUCAAAGUAUAGACUAAAUCCUUCACAAAUAUUUAAAGUUUUUAUUUUCCCCCUUCAUAUUGAUCCUGAUUUUAGUUAUGUUGACAAAGUCCACAGACUGUUACUAUCAGAACACUUGAACAGUUAUGGAAAUAUUACCUACCCUUGAUUUAAUCAGAGUUUAAUGGUAUGCUUCUUUGGUUUGACUGGCACAUUGUCGCUGGUCAUUUCCUCCCAAAGACCACCAGAAAGAGCUAUGAUCAAGCAAAGCUGAGUUUGUUAAACUUACCUGCAGCAAGGGAAAACACCACCUUGAUAGGGUUUAAUAAUGUUUCAAAAUCAAGAAAUGAGGCUUUGGGGUCUGGGCAGGGAACUAAUUAGAAAUGGGCAAAAUUUGUCAUGCAAUACCUUGUGGGAAAGUGAGAUGAGGUUCUUAAUGUGAGUAUUGAUGGUGAAAUCAUUUUCUAGGUGAGCUGUUUGCCUAUAUAAAGAUGUUAUCAAUGACAGAAGAACUAUUUGCCUAGAUAAACAAACUGAAUUUAUUUAUUGGUUUACAGUUUUAUCUUGCUGGGCAGGACUCUGCUGGGGGUGGUAUCAGGUCUUAUUCCCAAUAGGUAAGUUAUUUGGAUAUGGGUGGUCUUAAUCAUCAAUGUGUAAAAUGCUGAUUUUAAGUGCGAAAUACUUUGUCUACCAUGUUAGGAAAGUCUGCCACCUUUUAUCUUUUUUAAGGAAUUUUAAUCAAAACCAGGUGGUAGAUAUAAUCAAAUUGUUUUGCAGAAUCAAUUUUCCUGUUCUCUUUAAAGACUUUUAUCACUGUGAAUUAAUUUACUAUUAUUGCAACUUCCUUUAAUUCCUUGAAUGAACAGACCCUACUGGUUUUAAAAAUGUUUUAUUCUUUUAAUUUACUACUUAAUUGUGGGUAUUUUAAUUUGAUUUGGAAUUUUUACAAGUAUACAACUAAGUGAAAUUGAUCUGUGAUUUUUCUUUUUUGUGCUAUUUUUGUCAUGUUUUGAUAUCAGAUAUUCUGGUUGUGUUAAAAUAAUUUUGAGGAUUUUCUUCUUAUACUGUGUUCUAGAGUGGGUAAAAAAGCCCUAGUCUCACUAUCAGUGUUUAAGUGAACACAUCAGUGACAUCAUCUGGACUCUCCUUUGUUUUUGCUGGUUUGGAGUUAGGACAUCUAGAAGUUUUUUUCUUUUUUUCCUUUUUUUGUAUGGUUAUUGCUUGUUCUUUGUUUUGUGUCAAAUUUAACCUGUUUUCUCUUAGCAAAUCACAGCUCAUGCAGAUUUUCAAACACAUUAGCCUUGUUAUACAAAGUGUUCUUUCAUCAUUCUAUUAAAUUUCCAUUUUCAUUCCAGUUAUAGUUAUUUCUGCUGUGCCUUUGUUAAUGAAUAAGUUUAAACAGUGGAUGUUUAGCAUCACUAGCCUUCCCCUUCCAUCUCCCUUAAUCAGGACCUUGGUAUAAUUUAUCAGGUAUUUUUUAAGGUUCUAAUUUACUUAUAUAUAUUGUUUCUGUAUUCUUUUGUUUCUUUUCUUAAUAAAUUCUUAAACCUGUGUAACACAUUCAUAUUCACUUGUUCUUGGCAAUGAAAGAUUUACCCUGCUGUGCAUUUUAUAAAACUUGUCAUUAUGAACACAUUGUAAACAUACAGUGUAUGAAGAGAAGAAAACAGUGAACUAGCACAUACAAGGAACUGGAACUGGUUCCAUCAUUAUCAGUAUUUUGCCAUAUUUACUUUGUGUUUAUUUUAAGUAUUUUCAAAUAAGCUAGAGAAAUCUUAACGCUUCUUAUUCUCCCA
rnacentral:lncRNA from 1 species